GUUUAAGAGCGAGAGAACUAAAACCCACAAAGGUGAAAGCCACGUUGAACCACUCUCUCUGUCUCUCUGUCUCUCUCUCGCUCUGUAAAAUAAGUGAGGCGAAGAUGUUUCUGCGACAAGCAGCAGCUAACCUGAUCAAGAGGCGUUUCCGUUUGCCCUCUCAAACUGUCUCUUCAACUUCCGGAACAACUACCAUUCCACUCUCCAGCCGUACCAAAUUUUCUUAUCAAUAUCAUGGUCCUAAAGAUUUUAGUUGGAGGAUGAAUUAUAGUCACAGGGACCCUCGUGUAUGGCUUUUUCUAUCUGGAAAUGCAGCAAUUAUUUUUACGAUACAUUCCAACACUGUCUUAGCAAAAGAUGCAUCAAUUGAAUCAAGUCCUGAAAAUGACACCGAAGGGGCAGAAGCCAUGGGAUUACGCAAGAUUGAGGACGGCUCUGUCAUAUCAAAUAUACAUACUUCUAAGUGGAGAGUUUUUACUGAUAAAGGGAGGGAUUUAUUCCUUCAGGGAAAAUUGGAGGAAGCUGAAAAGCUUUUCCUCUUAGCUUUACAAGAAGCUAAAGAAGGCUUUGGAGAGAGGGAUCCGCAUGUUGCAUCUGCAUGCAACAACCUAGCAGAGCUCUAUAGAGUGAAUAAGGCAUAUAAUAAAGCAGAGCCAUUGUACUUGGACGCCAUCAGCAUACUGGAGGAAUCAUUUGGUCCUGAAGAUAUACGAGUUGGGUCUGCCUUUCACAACCUGGGGCAGUUCUAUAUUGUGCAACGGAAGCUGGAAGAAGCUCGCGUUUGCUAUGAGCGUGCUUUGAAGAUCAAGGCCCGUGUUCUGGGUCUUAAUCAUACAGAUUAUGCAGAUACUAUGUAUCAUCUUGGAACGGUGCUACAACUCCAAGGAAAAGGAAAGGAUUCGGAGGCCCUUAUUCAGGAUUCUAUUAGAAUACUCGAGGAUGGUGGCCAAGGGGAGUCAAUAAUGUGUGUCAAGAGAAUGCGAUAUCUUGCUCAGAUAUAUAUGAAAUCCAACCGUCUUGAGGAGGCUGAGAAGGUACAAAGAAAGAUUCUGCAUAUAAUGGAAUUGACAAAGGGAUGGAAUUCAUUGGACACAGUAAUAACAGCUGAAGGGCUCGCGUUGAUCCUACAAUCAGCUGGGAGCUUAAAAGAAGCUGAAGAGCUUCUUGAAAGGUGUCUUGAUGCUCGGAAAACCUUACUUCCUGAAGAUCAUAUUCAGAUUGGUGCGAACAUGCUUCACAUGGCUAGAGUGGCAAUACUCAAUUCCAACCAACUAAAGAAGGUGGACACUUCUAAAGCAAUUUGUGAGCUUGAGAAGGCCAGAGAUAUUUUAAACGAGUCCAUAAGGAUAGCACGGUCUUCUUUAGAUAAAUCAAUGAGGCAAAAUAGAAAGAUACAUAGUUAUGGAGCAUCAGGUGACAUUGGAAAGAAUUUUCGUGUGGCAUUGGUCAUACUGUUGCAAGCGUUUGAUGCUCUUGGCCUUUUAGCGAUCACUAAGCAAGAGUUACAGGAGUCAAAGCAGGAUGAGUGUUUACCUAACUCCGAAGCUGAGAGUGCACUAUUAAGAUGCAUUUCUACUUACAAAGAGUUUGUAACUGAGAUGUCAAUUGCGGAGUUUCCUGAAGUAAAGGCAGAGUAUCUUAAAUGUUUGAAGCAUCUUUUGAGCUUAAAUGGUAAUAGCACUACCCAAACAUCACAGCGAUCUACCAGAGUCAAUUUGCAAGAUUUGAGAGAUGAAAUCAAGCGUCUGGAACUUCAACUCUCUCCUUCUAGGAAUCGUAAAAUCUAAGCCGCCAGGCUGCCGAUUCUUGUCGCAGCAGCGGUUACAGCCCCACGUGAAUGAAGAAAAUCCCCUUUGUAGUUAAGCCAAUUAGCACCAGCUAUAACUCUCAAUCAAUGUUGGUGCUACGAAGACUUGUGUAUGACAGGUGGCGGUUUUCUAGCGUUGAUGGGACUUUAUUUUUGGGACUUUGGAACCACUUUGUUGGUGUUUUGCUCCAUUUUGUUUUUUUGUUAAACCAACUGCUUUUCAAUUCGGAAUGUUUCUGUUUGUCCUAUUUCCUAACUUAGCACAAUUCACUCUUUAAUAAUAUGUACUCCAAGUUUUGGAA